rnacentral:rRNA from 1 species
CUUAUAGCAAUAUAAGUGAUGGCGACCGGCGCACGGGUGAGUAACACGUAUCCAACCUGCCCACCACUUGGGGAUAACCUUGCGAAAGUAAGACUAAUACCCAAUGAUAUCUCUAGAAGACAUCUGAAGGAGAUUAAAGAUUUAUCGGUGAUGGAUGGGGAUGCGUCUGAUUAGCUUGUUGGCGGGGUAACGGCCCACCAAGGCGACGAUCAGUAGCCGGACUGAGAGGUUGGCCGGCCACAUUGGGACUGAGAUACGGCCCAGACUCC